GAUGAACGCUGGCGGCGUGCCUAAUACAUGCAAGUCGACCGCAGUGGCGAACGGGUGAGUAACACGUGGGAAACCUACCCUUCAGCGGGGGAUCACCAUCGGAAACGAUGACUAAUACCGCAUAGUGAAGGAUGGUCCCGCGGUGCAUUAGCUAGACGGUGGGGUAACGGCUCACCUAGGUGAUGAUCAGUAGCCGAACUGAGAGGGUGACCGGCCACAUGGGGACUGAGAUACGGCCCAGACUCCUACGGGAGGCAGCAGUGGGUGAUAUUGCACAAUGGGCGAAAGCCUGAUGCAGCGACGCCGCGUGGGGGAUGAAGGCUUUCGGGUUGUAAACCUCUUUCGCUAUCGAACGGGUAGGUGGAGAAGAAGCGCCGGCUAACUACGUGCCAGCAGCCGCGGUAAUAC
rnacentral:rRNA from 1 species